AUACGGAGGGUGCAAGCGUUGCCCGGAUUUAUUGGGUUUAAAGGGUGCGUAGGUGGUUUUUUAAGUCAGUGGUGAAAGCCUACAGCUUAACUGUAGAGGUGCCAUUGAAACUGGGGAACUUGAGUAUGGACGAGGUAGGCGGAAUUUGUGGUGUAGCGGUGAAAUGCAUAGAUACCACAAAGAACACCGAUAGCGAAGGCAGCUUACUAGGCCAUAACUGUCACUGAGGCACGAAAGUGUGGGGAGCGAACAGGAUUAGAUACCCCGGUAGUCC
rnacentral:rRNA from 1 species